rnacentral:lncRNA from 1 species
AUACACCAUAAUUCGUCGGCUAAGAUUAGUUUUAGCCGACGAAUUAUAGUGUAUUUCGUCGACUAAAACAAUCUUAGCCGACGAAUUAUAUUUUAAGUCGUUGGUUAAGAUCAGGUUAGCCGACAAAUACCCUAAUAUUUCGUCGGUUUUAUUUAUUUUUUAUUUUUUAUUACAUACUAUAGCCGACGAAUAUAUUAGGGUAUUCGUCGGCUAAACCCUAAAAUUUUUCUAUUACAUACUAUAGCCCUAUCUUCGGUGGUUAUUUUCCGUAAAAUUUUUAUACUACUUGUUGCGUCUCAUCGAUUUGAAACUAUUUUCCGUUGAAGGUCCGGCGAAAAUACGAAAUUUAGACGGUCCAACGACCUUUUCCGUGCAUUUAGGGGUUUGACUUACGGGAUUGACCGUCGGGAUUGUGCCCUUAACCUUGUCGGAUCAAGUUGAAUUUUUGCCCAUAUAUGUAUUUUGUCAUGAUGGUCAGAUCUGACUGUCGGAUUUCUGUUUCUCAAGUUUGAUCAUCACAAUCACAACAUGCCUACUAAUGUUGUAUAACUUGUUCACCAAGUGUUAAGUAAACGUUUCAAAAACAAACUAUACGUAGAACCUUCAAACCCCUACAAGUCGUGAAAUAAGAUAUGACCAGAAUGGUGAAAUACGUCUACGGUUGAAAAAUCAUGGUAUUCCGGUAAAGUCUUGGUACCGAUAGUUGCGGUCAAUGCAAUUUUCCAUUUUUUCUCCCUAUGGGUAGCCCUAUCUUCGGUGGUUAUUUUCCCCAAAAUUAUUAUACGACUUGUUGCAUCUUAUCGGUUUGAAACUAUCUUCAGUUGAAGGUCCAGCCAAAAUACGUAAUUUAGACGGUUACAAUCACAAUGUGCCGAAUGUAUAAAGUAUUUAAGCCGACGAAUUUCAAAGUUUAGCCGACGAAUUUAGACUCUUAGCCGACGAAGUAAAAAUUUCGUCAGCUAAAGUGGUACGGUAUACAGACGAACCCCAACUCGAGAACAGCCUCCACCGCACGAAUUCGAAACCCUAGCUAGCCUCCUUCGCCUCCUCGAGCCCUCUCCCGGUCGCCCUUUCCCUCUCCCGGUCUCCAUCUCCCUCUCCCUCCCUACGGUCGCCCUCUCCCUCCGGUCGCCCUCUCCCUCUCCCGGCCGCCAGCCCUCUCCCUCUCCUCCUCGCUCGGGCUCCGCCUGCUCGUCACUCGCCAGGUGGUGUAAUUCUCUGAUUUUUAUUUCGAUAUGUGCGUUACGGGUUUCGAAUUUAGGAAUUUAGGGUUUUUAUUCGCUAUUGAUAUUGUGGAUUGGUUUAUGAUGAAUAUAUUGAGAAUUUUGGUGAUAAUCCAUCUAUUGAAUGUUAUUGGUGUGAAUGAUUGAGUUGGUGUUUUGAACAAAAAUUUGCAUUAAUUUGAU